UACGGGGGGGGCAAGCGUUGUCCGGAAUCAUUGGGCGUAAAGAGCGCGUAGGAGGCUAGAUAAGUCCGGUGUGAAAGUCACAGGCUCAACCUGUGAAUGCCGCUGGAAACUGUCUGGCUAGAGUCCGGAAGGGGCGAGUGGAAUUCCUGGUGUAGCGGUGAAAUGCGCAGAUAUCAGGAGGAACACCAAUGGCGAAGGCAGCUCGCUGGGACGGUACUGACGCUGAGGCGCGAAAGCGUGGGGAGCAAACAGG
rnacentral:rRNA from 1 species